CAAUAGCGUAUAUUUAAGUUGUUGCAGUUAAAAAGCUCGUAGUUGGAUUUCGGAUGGGACUUGCCGGUCCGUCGUUUCGAUGCGCACUGGCCAGUCCUAUCUUGUUGUCGGGGACUAGCUCCUGGGCUUCACUGUCCGGGACUAGGAGCUGACGAGGUUACUUUGAGUAAAUUAGAGUGUUCAAAGCAAGCCUACGCUCUGAAUACAUUAGCAUGGAAUAACACGAUAGGACUCUGGCUUAUCUUGUUGGUCUGUGAGACCAGAGUAAUGAUUAAGAGGGACAGUCGGGGGCAUUCGUAUUUCAUUGUCAGAGGUGAAAUUCUUGGAUUUAUGAAAGACGAACUUCUGCGAAAGCAUUUGUCAAGGAUGUUUUCAUUAA
rnacentral:rRNA from 1 species